CCUACGGGAGGCAGCAGUGGGGGAUAUUGCACAAUGGGGGAAACCCUGAUGCAGCGACGCCGCGUGGGUGAAGAAGUAUUUCGGUAUGUAAAGCUCUAGCAGCAGGGAAGAAAGAAGACGGUACCUGACUACGAAGCCCCGGCUAACUACGUGCCAGCAGCCGCGGUAAUACGUAGGGGGCGAGAGUUAUCCGGAUUAACUGGGUGUAAAGGGAGCGUAGACGGCCGUGCAAGCCAGGAGUGAAAGCCCGGGGCCCAAACCCGGGACUGCUCUUGGAACUGGGGGGCUAGAGUGCGGGAGGGGCAGGCGGAAUGCCUAGUGUAGCGGUGAAAUGCGUAGAUAUCAGGAGGAACACCAGCGGCGAAGGCGGCCUGCUGGACCGCAACUGACGUUGAGACUCGAAAGCGUGGGGAGCGAACAGGAUUAGAUACCCUAGUAGUC
rnacentral:rRNA from 1 species